UACGUAGGGUGCGAGCGUUAAUCGGAUUUACUGGGCGUAAAGCGUGCGCAGGCGGCCCGUUAAGACAGGUGUGAAAUCCCUGGGCUCAACCUAGGAAUUGCGCUUGUGACUGGCGGGCCCGAGUACGGUAGAGGGGGGUGGAAUUCCUGGUGUAGCAGUGAAAUGCGUAGAGAUCAGGAGGAACACCGAUGGCGAAGGCAGCCCCCUGGGCCUGUACUGACGCUCAUGCACGAAAGCGUGGGGAGCAAACAGG
rnacentral:rRNA from 1 species